rnacentral:rRNA from 1 species
UACGUAGGGUGCAAGCGUUAAUCGGAAUUACUGGGCGUAAAGCGUGCGCAGGCGGUGAUGUAAGACAGGUGUGAAAUCCCCGGGCUUAACCUGGGAACUGCAUUUGUGACUGCAUCGCUGGAGUGCGGCAGAGGGGGAUGGAAUUCCGCGUGUAGCAGUGAAAUGCGUAGAUAUGCGGAGGAACACCGAUGGCGAAGGCAAUCCCCUGG